rnacentral:lncRNA from 1 species
UUGGGGGGCAUUUUGUUUACGGAUGGUCUUUUCGGUAUCAAUUCAUUUCUCUGUCGCAUUUAUAAUCGGUUAAGGAAAUAAUUAGAAGAAGAAAAAUGGAACUUGAAGUUAUUUGAUAAUAAGUAUCACCAGAGUAGUAGUCAGCUCUUCUAUGCUAAUAUGAAUUAUAAUUGAUUUUGUCAUAUUUAUAUUAACUGUUGACAAAAUUUUUAUUUGUGUGAAAUACUUAUGAUUUUCGAAACUAGGAAUAGAUAACCUGAGAAAUAUUUAGCAAAAACUUUCGGCUUUUUCGCUCUGAAUUCUCUUUAACAUCGUUCUUUAUUUGGUCUUAUUUUUGUUGUUUUUUUAGCUUCGCUGAUGAGAAAUUAGAGACGAAACGCGUGUCUGGCGUACACAAUUAAAACCCCGGGAUGUUUUGUUGACUUUUUUUUCACAUAACAAUAUGUUUUUGUAAAUUUAUAGACAUCAAAAUUUAAAGAAGAACCAAAUGACUUUUUAAUAGGAAUAAUCUAACACACAGUAUGUUUAGCUUCUGUCACUACUACUAACUUUUACCGCGGUUCGAUAUAAUGCGGUUUGAUCUACCGCGUUUCAAAUUAAUU